ACGGAGGAUCCAAGCGUUAUCCGGAUUUAUUAGGUUUAAAGGGUGCGCAGGCGGGAAGAUAAGUCAGCGGUGAAAUCCUGUAGCUCAACUACAGAACUGCCGUUGAUACUGUUUUUCUUGAGUGCGGUUGAGGUAAGCGGAAUGUGUAGUGUAGCGGUGAAAUGCUUAGAUAUUACACAGAACACCAAUUGCGAAGGCAGCUUACUAAACCGUAACUGACGCUGAGGCACGAAAGCGUGGGGAGCGAACAGG
rnacentral:rRNA from 1 species